GCACAGGUCCGCCUCAGGAUGGGGCUGCGGCCCAUCAGGUAGUUGGCGGGGUAAAGGCCCACCAAGCCGAUAACGGGUGCGGGCUCUGGAAGGAGGAGCCCGGAGAUGGGCACUGAGACAAGGGCCCAGGUCCUACGGGGCGCAGCAGGUGCGAAACCUCCACAAUGCGGGAAACCGCGAUGGGGUUACCCCGAGUGUCGCCCGCUGAGGGCGACUUUUCUGGGGUCUAAAAAGCCCCAGGAAUAAGGGGAGGGCAAGUCUGGUGUCAGCCGCCGCGGUAAUACCAGCUCCCCGAGUGGUCGGGACGUUUAUUGGGCCUAAAGCGCCCGUAGCCGGCCCGGUGUGUCUCCCGUCAAAUCCGCCGGCUCAACCGGCGGACCGCGGGGGAUACUAUCGGGCUAGGGGGCGGGAGAGGUCGGGGGUACUCCCGGGGUAGGGGUAAAAUCCUCUGAUCCCGGGAAGACCACCGGUGGCGAAGGCGUCCGGCCAGAACGCGCCCGACGGUGAGGGGCGAAAGCUGGGGGAGCGAACCGGAUUAGAUACCCGGGUAGUCCCAGCUGUAAACGAUGCGGGCUAGGUGCUGGAGGGGCUACGGGCCCCUCCAGUGCCGCAGGGAAGCCGUUAAGCCCGCCGCCUGGGGAGUACGGCCGCAAGGCUGAAACUUAAAGGAAUUGGCGGGGGGGCACACAAGGGGUGAAGCCUGCGGUUCAAUGGAGUCAACGC
rnacentral:rRNA from 2 species